AUGGUAAAGGGACUGCCUGUCAUAUUGUUUCUGACUUGCACGCAUGUGUGCAAAGGAAAAAGAAAUAUGUUACCCAAGAGGUCUCAUGGAGGAGUUACUCCUGCUCUGGCACAAAGGUUUUCGUGCCUUUUCAGCAGUGAAAUAAGAGGAGCCCCACAGCCUAAGUUAGCGAGAACGCAGGUGUGCUCCAGAAACAAAAAGGCACUCCAGUUUGAAGGGAGCAAGGGAUUUCUUUUCCUUCUUGGCUAACAGUCCUUCACCUGGCUUGAAGAGAAAGCAGAUGGCUCUCUGCUGGCUGUGGAAAGAAAAUCACCUGAGAGGGGAAAGGAAGAAGCAGCUUGAGAAACUGCAACCCGCAAAAGAAUUCAGAUGAAAAUGAGUAUGUGUGCUGAGAGGUUUAGCUAAACACUAUAAAAAUUGACUUGUACAUGAUAAAACUCUCCAAUAUGAAGAGAUCCAUGGACUGUCUAGACCGACUUUUUUUUUUUUUUUUCCCUUCUUAAAAGCAAACAGAACCACACAUAACUAAAUAAGUGCAAAAUUCACACAUGGAUGAUGCCAGAACGUAACAGCAUUGCAUGGAAUAAAUACUUCAGUAAGCUUGGUUCUGGUUUUCCU
rnacentral:lncRNA from 1 species